UAGGAUUCCCUUAGUAGCUGCGAGCGAACAGGGAAGAGCCCAGCACCGAAUCUUGUGGCCGGCAACGGUCACCGAGAAAUGUGGUGUUAGGGAGGGUCCGUUUAUCUCGAGGUAAUUCGGUGAGUCCAAGUCCUUCUUGAACGGGGCCACAGCCCAUAGAGGGUGCCAGGCCCGUAGCGACCACCGUUUAUCGCGAGAGGAUCUCUCCUCAGAGUCGGGUUGCUUGAGAGUGCAGCCCUAAGUGGGUGGUAAACUCCAUCUAAGGCUAAAUAUGACCACGAGACCGAUAGCGAACAAGUACCGUGAGGGAAAGUUGAAAAGCACUUUGAAGAGAGAGUUCAAGAGUACGUGAAACCGUUUAGGGGUAAACCUGAGAAACCCGAAAGGUCGAAAGGAGAAAUUCAUUCGCGUUUCGGCUGGCGGUGUAGAGCGUUAGAGUGACGGAUUGUCUUCGGGCAAAACGCGCCUUUCGUUUUUCAACUGUCGUCGAACGCGUGCACUUUUCUCCUAGUAGGACGUCGCGAUCCGUUGGGUGUGGGUAUAAGGCCCUCGGUGGAGUCCCCGAGUACGAUUCGUCGAAUUCGAGAACCCGAGGUGUCCCUACCUACUCGCUCGACGGUAUAAAGAUGGCGAGAAGCCGCUAAUUCGUUAGCGUUCGGCCCGCGGCAAGCAAGCAGGGUGCGUUGGCAACCGGACCUGGUGCCGGUUCUGACCCCCUGGCUACUGUUGGCUGCGGUGUUCUCGGACAGACUUCCACGCCGAUCGGCGACGCUUUAGCUUUGGGUACUUUCAGGACCCGUCUUGAAACACGGACCAAGGAGUCUAGCAUGUGCGCGAGUCAUUGGGACAUAACUAAACCUAAAGGCGCAAUGAAAGUAAAAGUUUGCCUUGCGCAAACCUAGGGAGGAUAGGCGGUUUGCCCUUAAAAGUGGCCGCCUCGCACUCCCGGGGCGUCUCGUUCUCAUUACGAGAUGAGGCGCACCAAGAGCGUACACGCUGGGACCCGAAAGAUGGUGAACUAUGCCUGGUCAGGACGAAGUCAGGGGAAACCCUGAUGGAGGUCCGUAGCGAUUCUGACGUGCAAAUCGAUCGUCGGAACUGGGUAUAGGGGCGAAAGACUAAUCGAACCAUCUAGUAGCUGGUUCCCUCCGAAGUUUCCCUCAGGAUAGCUGGCGCUCAUUGCGCACGAGUCUCAUCCGGUAAAGCGAAUGAUUAGAGGCAUUGGGGUCGAAACGACCUCAACCUAUUCUCAAACUUUAAAUGGGUGAGAUCUCCGGCUUGCUCGAACUCAUGAAGCCGCGAGACACGGAUCAGAGUGCCAAGUGGGCCAUUUUUG
rnacentral:rRNA from 1 species